GCAGAAAUAACAUGUCGCGUCCAGGGUGAGUCACUUAAAAGCCAGGGUGCCUUUCCCUUCUCUCUCUUACCAAGCACCCUCUGGAGCCAUGUAUACGGAGAACAUACCGUGAGGUGAUGAGAGCCUGUUUUCCUGAAUUUCUGGGAAGAGGUGAUGCCCCUCCAACGGACUUCGGACUUGGUUAAAUAAAGCAUGUUAACUCUCAAGAGGUGAUUGGCCCCUUCUGGCCACACAGUGGGUAAGAACCUGUCUACCAAUGCUGGGGACACAGGUUCGAGUCCUGGUCUGGGAAGAUGCCAUGUGCCAUGGAGCAACUAAGCUUGUGCCCCACAACUUGGUGCCACAACUACCAAGCCUGAGCCCAACUGAGCUGCAACUACCAAGCCCAGGAGCUGCCUCUAUUGAAGCCCGCAUGCGCUAGAGCCUGAGGUCCGCAACAAGAAAAGCCACCACGCAGACAUUACCCAACACACCCUCAAGGGAAGGAAAACUCUCAGUCCGUCAACUUUCUGAUGCCUCAAGAACCUACUUUUUCCAGAGAAGAGUCUAAAUGGGUCACUUCCCUCUUCUGGCCUCGCUACAAAUGUUACCCACACUUGCCCCCCGAUCCUAUUUUCAGAAUUGAAUGACCAGCUCCAUUCUGUGAGGCCCUGACUACAUCCCGCUAAGGUCACGGUUGGUACUUAAAAGCAGUGGUCUUUUUUUAUUUCCCCCAAAGGCUAGUUUUUAUCCCUCCCUCCACCCUUCCUCUUCCUUCACCCUCCUUCAAUAGAGCUGUGUUGUGAAGGGUCUGGCCACACACAGAGAAUAUUACAGGAAUAAAACCUGGGAAAGAGCACACGGUUAUGAAAUAUUAAACUUAAACUUCUCUUUAUUUUGCCCCUCCAAUUCUCCUCCCCCUCCAAGAAAACACGAACCCCGACAGAUUUGCGGUCCGUGUUAUCUUCAGCUGGAAAAGCCAGCUGAACCAACAGAGCAGACUUCUCUGUUUCCUGCUGCCUAGAGCUUUCCAAAGGCGCUACUGUGAAGGAGCAGCUCCCUCUUUGGCCCUAUGGACAGCUUUCCGAGAGGGAAGAGAUUACACUAGCAUCGGCCAGAUAAGAACUCUGUAGCUGGAGAGCUGGAUGCAAACGAAAUCUAUGGGCAUCAGGGUUAUUUCACCCCAGUGAAAGAGACGACAGGCAAGGACAGGAAAUAAGAAUGCUAGUGCCAAAAUUCAGCACUCUGCUUUGUCAGUAGAUUAAAAAAAAAAUAAAAUAAAGCAGAUGAAGAACAGAGAAAGUUCAAGGAUCCCUCCAUUUCUUCAGUCAGCUCCAACCUAAGAACUUCAGUGGGAGUUUGGCCUGAGGGAAAAUUGCCAUAUCAGACAUUGAUUAGGCUAAAGUCAACCCAUUUCAAAGCAUCACCCAUUAAUUUAUUGACUGCAAACAGGAAUUUUGCCCAAGGCCAGAACUCACAAUCAAUCCGUUGCCCUGAGAUAGAUUUCCACAAGUGGCUGGGGAAAGGGAGUCUGUCUUCAGGAUGUCUCUCCGUGGCCCACUCUUUCUUUCUUUAUUCCCUCUCCUGCUCUAUUGCGUUGAUAACAGGGCAUUCAAAGGACUUCAUUAGUCCGAUGAUGUGCAAACAGCUGCUCAUAGGAUUUGUGACUGGAUUGAUCCUGAUGCUGCCAGUACAGACAGCACAGGGCAGAAAUAACUAUGUUUUGUUCCCUUGACAUCGUUCCCUUUCCUUUCUUUCACGUCUCAUGUAUUCAUUAAACGUUCAUUUAAUAAAA